rnacentral:rRNA from 1 species
GAUGAACGCUGGCGGCGUGCCUAAUACAUGCAAGUCGAGCGAACGGACGAGAAGCUUGCUUCUCUGAUGUUAGCGGCGGACGGGUGAGUAACACGUGGAUAACCUACCUAUAAGACUGGGAUAACUUCGGGAAACCGGAGCUAAUACCGGAUAAUAUUUUGAACCGCAUGGUUCAAAAGUGAAAGACGGUCUUGCUGUCACUUAUAGAUGGAUCCGCGCUGCAUUAGCUAGUUGGUAAGGUAACGGCUUACCAAGGCAACGAUGCAUAGCCGACCUGAGAGGGGGAUCGGCCACGCUGGAACUGAGACACGGUCCAGACUCCUACGGGAGGCAGCAGUAGGAAUCUUCCGCAAUGGGCGAAAGCCUGACGGAGCAACGCCGCGUGAGUGAUGAAGGUCUUCGGAUCGUAAAACUCUGUUAUUAGGGAAGAACAUAUGUGUAAGUAACUGUGCACAUCUUGACGGUACCUAAUCAGAAAGCCACGGCUAACUACGU